UUUUUUUUUUUUUUUUUUUUUUUUGAUAGCUACAAAGUAUUCCAUUAUAUGGCUGUACCUGACAUUUAACCAGCCUGUUCUUACAGUCAUUUAAGUGUUUCCAGUUUUUAGCAAUUAUAAAGUAGGUGGCAAUGAAUUCCUUUAUACCUACAUGGUUUCCUUCUUGUGGGACUAUAUCCAUUCUGUUAUGAGACUAGGUCAAAGUGAGUAUAUUUUACAUCUCAAUAGUUACUGCUAAAGUCCCUAAAAUCCCAGGAUCACAGAGAUUCUCGUCCAUACACAUUGCGUGGGAAUGCCUGUUUCCCCACUCUCUAAUUCUAAUAUCAUUAAACUUUCAAGGUUUUACCUCUCUGAUAAGUAUAUCAUACCUUUGUUGUUUUGCUCUCUAUUUUAUAAAAUAAGAGUGAGGUUAAGUAUCUUUUCCAUAUGCUUGUAACCAUUUAGAUUUUUUCUAUGUUGUUCCUAUUUUUAUUUCUCUGCUUUUGUCUAUUGAGUUAUUAACCUUAUUGAUUUGCAGUCUCUUUGCAUGUUGUCCCCUUAGCCCUUGAAACAAAUGUUUCGUCACAUAUGAAACAAACAUUUUCCCCAGGAUAUCACUGUUUAUAGUACCUUUUAUGAUACAAAGUUCUUAAUCAAUUGAUCUUUUAAGACUUUUGAACUUGGCUCCCCCUGGAAAUUCCAUUGUAAAAUUCUAGCCCCCUUUGACUGUCCUUCCCUCUUUAGCCAGAGAACUUCUGACACUGAUACCACAUAACUUUUUACAACGAGUCUAUGUUGCAACUAACACCAGCAGCCAAAGGAAAUUAAUCAUUUGGAAACAAGGCCAUAGGGCUUCAGUGGAUGCUUCAUAAGGUGAAAACCAUUGACUGAAUUUGGUACUGGUUCACUGGAUGUGUCCCACUGGUAGGUAAAGCCCUUUCCCUAGUAGGUGGUGUCAGGCUGGAAGUGUCCACAGUAUGGGACAAGUUAAGCAAGUACAUAAAUGCCACUACUUCUGAUCCCCAACUUCUGAGUUAUAGCAUGUGGAUGGUUUAAGCAGGUGCAGCCAUGCUAAUACACUAGCAGGGAGUGAUUGAUUUUGCCAGUGUCAAGUCCAGGCAGCAAGCAAGAUGAAUAAAAACAUUUCACCGGGGCACUGAGGGACCAACCAAGAUCCCCGGGCUCUGAAAGGUUUUUACGGAUCCAAACCCUAGAAAUUUUGAUGUAGAAAACCUAAUCUCAUGUUUCUCAGAGGAGGCAGGAUGCAGGCAGGAAUUUAAUUAUUGAUAAGAGCCUACAUUUUUCAACUCUCAUCACAACAAUCCCUGCACGGGAUUACGCAGCACUCUGUGCCAACUACAGGAGAAAGGUGAAGGUCACAGAGAACUUCUCGGGGACAUUUAUUUGUGGAUCUGAUGUGUCUACUCUGGGAUCUAUUUUCUUACCCAUUCAGGGUGGGCCCUUCCUUCUGUUCGACUGUCCAGGAUUUUUAAAACUCUCCUCUCUCCUUCUCAGGAGACGAAUGGUGUGCAAAGUGAAAAGGCAAUAAAACGUUAUCAAUUUCCCACUUGUCAGGCCUCUAUAGUAAGCCCGUUUCCUUCCUCUUUUUCUUACUUCCCUUCCACAAGGGAUCAUUCUAGGGAGAGAGAAGGAUGAAUUGCUUUAUUUUUUAUUUUUAGAAAUGCUGUUCUAGCCUCAUCAGCAAGAAUUGUUAGUAAAUAUUAAGAAGCAGGUUUCCCAUCCCUGUUAUUGAAAACAGCAAUGGAAGUAUUACACAGCUUUUGGAAGGCAGACCGUGGAAAGAAAAGCUAUGUACCCACCUCCACCCGCCAGAAACAUCAACUAGGUAACCUACUUUGAGAUUCUUUAACAAAAACGCUAAUGUAAAAUAGAAGUACUAUAUCCUACUACCUUCCAAGAAGAAAAGGACAUUUUAAAGUACAUAAACUUGAUGCUGAAAUGACUCAAGUAAAAUGACACUGGGUAUUUUUUUUAAGUCAUGAAACUAAGAAUUUUUGUGAAUAAUGCUGCUUAUGCAUAAAAGGGGAACAUAUAAGUUUGUUUAUAAAAAUAUCCAGUUUUGCAAAAACAACCUUUUAAACUUUUUAAACCUUUUAUGUCCAUUCAAGAAAACGAAACCUUUGACCCAUAAACACCAAAGCCAAUGUGACAAAUAUCCCUAAUGGACAGUAUUAAGCUGAAAAAUAAAAACAUAUUCUAUCAUAUUAACUAAAAAAAGUAAUCAUAUAAUUAAUAGGUGAAAAACAGAGAGAAAGAUUGCUGAAGAUUAAGAUGAAGCCCUGCAGAAGCGAAUGUUCUAACUAGAAAUUGGUUUAAUUAAUAGCACAUUUUACAUAAUGAUCACAGUGUAAUUGCGCUGACUAGCAGAGUGUCAUUAAAUAUAUCCACGCUCCUUUACAACACCCUAAGGCGAAAAAUAAUGAGUUACAUUGAAAAUCACUGUGCAACAGGUUCAUAAAUAACAUUUAAGCCUAUACAAGGCGAAUACUUAUAAAUAAUAAAUAUUUGCCUUUUGUAAUUGAAGAAAAAAUGACAGCCUUCUUUUUCUACUACCUUGUAGAUUGCCAUGUUAUAAUGCUGAAAAGAUUUUUUCCCCUUGCUUUCUCUAGAAGGUGUUGAAUAAUUUAUUCAAAUGCUAAUAUUCCACGUAGUCUGACUUUGAGGAACAAAUAUUCCUACAUAAAGAAUAAAUGCCAAGAUGCUUAUUACCUCCCUUGCUUUACGUUACACCAUGAAUCCCCCCAAAACUACCACAGUCCAUUACACCUGUCAAAGGAAGUUAGUGGCCAGAUUUUCUGGCAAAGAAGCGCAUUUUUCUUUAUGUAAAAAUUACCCCUUCUCCCCAAAUGUUCAUCGUGCUCAGGGUUGUUCCAGAGUAGCAGCUGCUCUGUAACUUCAGAAAAGAAGUCAAAGAUGCCUGAUGGCUUCUUAUACUCUCACUCUUCUCCUGAGAAUCAAUGACAUCUGAAAACCAUGGCUGCCCUUCCUUAUCUGUGCAGCUGACCCUGGCACGGGCUCAAAUCUGCAAAAGGUCCGUGUUCAUGAGCCUCAUUUUCUUCAUCUCCUCGGUUCCAAAACGAAGUCAUGUUCCUCCGAUGCCUGGGAGAAAGCAGAAAGCCAGGCAGCCUCAGGGAGGGCCUGGAAGCACCCUGGAACCGGACUUCCGGCCAGCGACUUCUCACCAAGGAUGGCAGGAAAGAGGGUGUCUCCAGGCUAUACAGAGAAUGAUUUGGUGGGCAAAGAUCCUACCAAGAAGGUGGACAGAGGCAUCCUUUGCUCUCUAGCAAAGGACACAAGAGGAAAAAGCCUCCAUCUCCCACUGUUCGGUUUCCCAGUGAGUGUGAAGCAGGUCAGAUAUCCUAUAUCCUGAAAACUCAAGAGCUCCCAGUGUGGGGGGGCCAUCAAGGAGGUUACUCUCCAAUGACUCUUUUCAGCAUAGGAUGGCAGCUCGGUCUUCUGUGGGAGGAGGUAGUAUUACUUAGUGAUGAAGAAAGGGCUUUGACAUGGGCCAGAAGUACUCAGUUCAGCUGCUGGGUUCAUUACUUCUUAGCUGUGUGACAUUGGGUAAGUCACUUAACCUCUCUGAGCCUCAAUUCCCAAAUCUGAAAAGCAGAAUGAGAAUAGUCUCUGCCCCCUAAGAUGGCUGUAAGGGAUAAGAUGAAAAAAAUUUAAAGUUUGUAAACACUUAGCCUAGUGCCUCCCAGUUAGUAACGCUGACUAAGUGGUAGUUAUUAUUUAUUUCAAGAUCAUAAAGCUUUUUCUCAGAGUUCCUGUUGUGGUUCAGUAGGUUAAGAAUCCGACUAACAUCCAUGAGGAUGUGGGUUGAGAUCCCUGGCCUCACUCAGUGUGUUAGGAUCCAGCAUUGCUUAUCCAUCUCCUGCUCACUUUCAUCCAAGGGUCCAAUUUCUUUGGAAGGAUGAAGGAUUGGGGUUCCUCUAUUCAACCCCACCCACUUGCAGAUCCAGAGCAGCCAGAGGGGACCCUUUCGUGAAACAAAUCAUAUUGCUCCCUUGAUUACAGCUGGCUGUGAGGUCUCAUGGGCCUUAGGGAACCAAAGGGCCAGAAUCCUUAUCCUGCAUGGUUUGGGCCCAGCCUCUUCAGCCUCAUGGCCAUUCAAGCCCUCAUGCUCAUUCAAGGCUUCAUGCUCUGUGCUCCAGGGAUCCUCAUUCUGUUCCCUCUGGCCCUAGGGCCUUUGCAGAUGCCUUGGUUAGGAACUCUCUUCUUACCCACUUUUUCAAAUUAGCUUUUCAGACCUCAGCUUAUACAGGGCUUCCUCAGGUAAAUCUUAGUUAACUCCCCAAACUAGUUCAGAUAUCCACCUCUUCCAGCUCCCGCCACAGUCCUUUCACAGGUUUUGUCAUCAGCGGGGGUAGUAUAUAUGUAGAAUUACCUAACAAAUGACUAUUGCCAUUAGUAAACUACACAUUCUAUGAAGGCAGGGACCAUGGCUGCUUGAGGCUCCUAAUGGACUUUGCAGGGCACCUGGCAGAUGGCCCUCAGCAAAUAUUUGGAGUGAAGGAAGGAAGGGCAGGAUGAACAAAUACCCAUUUCUACGGGAGAGUGAUUCACAUAUUUGAUGAUAAAUAUUUAGGCCUCUCUCCUUCGUUGAUUUAAUUGCCACAAGAUCAGGGAUCUUGGCCCCUCACCUGGUCUUCAUCACGUUGAGCUUUAGACCCUCCGCAGCCCUGUGCUCACAUGUGAGGGAGCCGAGGAUAGUGAAGGGAUUGCUUCCUGUGAUCAAAGACACCAUCCUUCUCCUAGUGCACCCAGAGGCCGUGUUAGCCUUAAAUAUGUGUGUCACAUACACACACACCACACACACACCACACACAGACACUGCUAUUUUGUUUAAAAAUAAUUUCAUGAGUUCCCAUCGUGGCGCAGUGGUUAACGAAUCCGACUAGGAACCAUGAGGUUGCGGGUUCGGUCCCUGCCCCUGCUCAGUGGGUUAAGGAUAUAGCGUUUUCGUGAGCUGUGGUGUAGG
rnacentral:lncRNA from 1 species